CACUGUCCUCCCGCCACCAGCCGCCCCUGUCGCCGAGCCCGCAGUCGCCAGCGCGCCCCGAGCCCCUCCAGGCCAGAGGCUCCCGCAGGCGAUGGCGGACAAGAGGGCGGGGACCCCAGAAGCCGCGGCGCGCCCGCCGCCCGGCCUUGCCCGGGAGGGGGACGCGCGCACGGUCCCCGCGGCCCGGGCCCGAGAAGCUGGGGGGCGCGGGUCCCUCCACCCCGCAGCGGGCCCCGGGACCGCCUUCCCUUCCCCUGGGCGCGGGGAAGCGGCCUCCACGGCGACUACUCCGAGCCUGGAAAAUGGCCGGGUCCGGGACGAAGCCCCAGAAACCUGUGGUGCAGAGGGGCUAGGGACUCGGGCAGGAGCCAGCGAGAAGGCCGAGGACGCGAACAAGGAGGAGGGCGCCAUCUUCAAGAAGGAGCCAGCGGAGGAGGUGGAGAAGCAGCAGGAGGGGGAGGAGAAGCAGGAGGUGGCAGCGGAGGCCCAGGAGGGCCCGCGGCUCCUGAACCUUGGUGCCCUAAUUGUGGACCCACUGGAGGCCAUCCAGUGGGAGGCGGAGGCCGUGAGCGCCCAGGCCGACAGGGCCUACCUCCCGCUCGAGCGCAGGUUUGGGCGGAUGCACAGGUUGUACCUCGCCCGUAGGAGCUUCAUCAUCCAGAAUAUUCCGGGCUUCUGGGUCACCGCCUUCCUGAACCACCCGCAGCUCUCAGCCAUGAUCAGCCCUCGAGAUGAAGACAUGCUCUGCUACCUGAUGAAUUUGGAGGUGAGGGAGCUCAGGCACUCUAGGACAGGUUGCAAAUUCAAGUUCCGCUUUUGGAGCAACCCCUACUUCCAGAACAAGGUGAUAGUGAAGGAGUAUGAAUGCAGAGCCUCAGGCCGAGUGGUGUCUAUUGCGACUCGCAUCCGAUGGCACUGGGGCCAGGAACCCCCGGCCCUCGUACACAGGAACCGGGACACUGUCCGAAGCUUCUUCAGCUGGUUUUCACAGCACAGCCUCCCAGAGGCCGACAGGGUUGCCCAGAUUAUUAAAGAUGACCUGUGGCCCAACCCCCUGCAGUACUACCUGCUGGGGGAUAGGCCCUGCAGAGCCAGGGGAGGCCUCGCAAGGUGGCCCACGGAGACCCCUUCUAGGCCCUACGGGUUCCAGUCUGGCUAAGUGCUGCCUUGGGAUGUGCGGCCUACAUAAGCUUCCUCAUGCCUCCUACGGGUGGC